rnacentral:rRNA from 1 species
GGGUUGUGAGGUUAAGCGAACAAGCGUACACGGUGGAUGCCCUGGCAGUCAGAGGCGAUGAAGGACGUGCUAAUCUGCGAAAAGCGCCGGUAAGGUGAUAUGAACCGUUAUAACCGGCGAUGUCCGAAUGGGGAAACCCGGUGCACUUCGGUGCAUCAUCGUUAGCUGAAUACAUAGGCUAACGAGGCGAACCGGGGGAACUGAAACAUCUAAGUACCCCGAGGAAAAGAAAUCAACCGAGAUUCCCCCAGUAGCGGCGAGCGAACGGGGAACAGCCCAGAGCCUGAAUCAGCUUGUGUGUCAGUGGAACGGUCUGGAAAGGCCGGCGAUACAGGGUGACAGCCCCGUACACGAAGGCACACAGGCUGUGAGCUCGAUGAGUAGGGCGGGACACGUGAUAUCCUGUCUGAAGAUGGGGGGACCAUCCUCCAAGGCUAAAUACUCCUGACUGACCGAUAGUGAACCAGUACCGUGAGGGAAAGGCGAAAAGAACCCCGGCGAGGGGAGUGAAACAGAACCUGAAACCGUGUACGUACAAGCAGUGGGAGCCUUCGUAAGAGGGUGACUGCGUACCUUUUGUAUAAUGGGUCAGCGACUUAUAUUCUGUAGCAAGGUUAACCGUAUAGGGGAGCCGAAGGGAAACCGAGUCUUAAUUGGGCGUUAAGUUGCAGGGUAUAGACCCGAAACCCGGUGAUCUAGCCAUGGGCAGGUUGAAGGUUGGGUAACACUAACUGGAGGACCGAACCGACUAAUGUUGAAAAAUUAGCGGAUGACCUGUGGCUGGGGGUGAAAGGCCAAUCAAACCGGGAGAUAGCUGGUUCUCCCCGAAAGCUAUUUAGGUAGCGCCUCGUGAACUCAUCUCCGGGGGUAGAGCACUGUUUCGGCUAGGGGGCCAUCCCGGCUUACCAACCCGAUGCAAACUGCGAAUACCGGAGAAUGUUAUCACGGGAGACACACGGCGGGUGCUAACGUCCGUCGUGAAGAGGGAAACAACCCAGACCGCCAGCUAAGGUCCCAAAGUCAUGGUUAAGUGGGAAACGAUGUGGGAAGGCCCAGACAGCCAGGAUGUUGGCUUAGAAGCAGCCAUCAUUUAAAGAAAGCGUAAUAGCUCACUGGUCGAGUCGGCCUGCGCGGAAGAUGUAACGGGGCUAAACCAUGCACCGAAGCUGCGGCAGCGACACUAUGUGUUGUUGGGUAGGGGAGCGUUCUGUAAGCCUGUGAAGGUGUGCUGUGAGGCAUGCUGGAGGUAUCAGAAGUGCGAAUGCUGACAUAAGUAACGAUAAAGCGGGUGAAAAGCCCGCUCGCCGGAAGACCAAGGGUUCCUGUCCAACGUUAAUCGGGGCAGGGUGAGUCGACCCCUAAGGCGAGGCCGAAAGGCGUAGUCGAUGGGAAACAGGUUAAUAUUCCUGUACUUGGUGUUACUGCGAAGGGGGGACGGAGAAGGCUAUGUCGGCCGGGCGACGGUUGUCCCGGUUUAAGCGUGUAGGCUGACUUUCCAGGCAAAUCCGGAAGGUUAAGGCUGAGGCGUGAUGACGAGGCACCACGGUGCUGAAGUGACAAAUGCCCUGCUUCCAGGAAAAGCCUCUAAGCAUCAGGUAACAUCAAAUCGUACCCCAAACCGACACAGGUGGUCAGGUAGAGAAUACCAAGGCGCUUGAGAGAACUCGGGUGAAGGAACUAGGCAAAAUGGUGCCGUAACUUCGGGAGAAGGCACGCUGACAUGUAGGUGAAGCCCCUGCGGGUGGAGCUGAAGUCAGUCGAAGAUACCAGCUGGCUGCAACUGUUUAUUAAAAACACAGCACUGUGCAAACACGAAAGUGGACGUAUACGGUGUGACGCCUGCCCGGUGCCGGAAGGUUAAUUGAUGGGGUUAUCGCAAGAGAAGCUCCUGAUCGAAGCCCCGGUAAACGGCGGCCGUAACUAUAACGGUCCUAAGGUAGCGAAAUUCCUUGUCGGGUAAGUUCCGACCUGCACGAAUGGCGUAAUGAUGGCCAGGCUGUCUCCACCCGAGACUCAGUGAAAUUGAACUCGCUGUGAAGAUGCAGUGUACCCGCGGCAAGACGGAAAGACCCCGUGAACCUUUACUACAGCUUGACACUGAACAUUGAGCCUUGAUGUGUAGGAUAGGUGGGAGGCUUUGAAGCGUGGACGCCAGUCUGCGUGGAGCCGACCUUGAAAUACCACCCUUUAAUGUUUGAUGUUCUAACCUGGCGCCGUGAUCCGGCGUGGGGACAGUGUCUGGUGGGUAGUUUGACUGGGGCGGUCUCCUCCCAAAGUGUAACGGAGGAGCACGAAGGUCAGCUAAUCCUGGUCGGACAUCAGGAGGUUAGUGCAAUGGCAUAAGCUGGCUUGACUGCGAGAGUGACGGCUCGAGCAGGUGCGAAAGCAGGUCAUAGUGAUCCGGUGGUUCUGUAUGGAAGGGCCAUCGCUCAACGGAUAAAAGGUACUCCGGGGAUAACAGGCUGAUACCGCCCAAGAGUUCAUAUCGACGGCGGUGUUUGGCACCUCGAUGUCGGCUCAUCACAUCCUGGGGCUGAAGUAGGUCCCAAGGGUAUGGCUGUUCGCCAUUUAAAGUGGUACGCGAGCUGGGUUUAGAACGUCGUGAGACAGUUCGGUCCCUAUCUGCCGUGGGCGCUGGAGAAUUGAGGGGGGCUGCUCCCAGUACGAGAGGACCGGAGUGGACGCAUCACUGGUGUUCGGGUUGUCAUGCCAAUGGCACUGCCCGGUAGCUAAAUGCGGAAGAGAUAAGUGCUGAAAGCAUCUAAGCACGAAACUUGCCCCGAGAUGAGUUCUCCCUGAGACUGUAAGUCUCCUGAAGGAACGUUGAAGACGACGACGUUGAUAGGCCGGGUGUGUAAGCGCAGCGAUGCGUUGAGCUAACCGGUACUAAUGAACCGUGAGGCUUAACCUUACAACGCCAAAGAAGU